UCUAUAGCUCAGUUGAGAGAGCGCCAGACUGAAGAUGUGAAGGUCCCCGGCUCGAUCCCAGAU
rnacentral:tRNA from 1 species